AAAAGGAAAUAAAACACAAGGAGGUGAAAACUUAUGUCUACGGAAAACCCCACACAUGGAUGUUUAUAGCAGCUUUAUUAAUAAUUGCCAAAACUUGGAAGCAACUGAGAUGUCCUUAAGUAAUGAAAUGGAUACACUAUGGUACAUCCAGAUGAUGGAAUAUUAUUUAGUGAUAAAAAGAACUGUCAAGCCAUGAAAAGAUAUGUAGGAAACUUAAAUGUAUAUUACUAAGUGAAAGAAGUCAAUCUGAAAAGGCUACAUACUAUAGAAUUCCAACUAUAAGACAUUCU